AGAUGGCGACCGGCGCACGGGUGAGUAACACGUAUCCAACCUGCCGAUAACUCGGGGAUAGCCUUUCGAAAGAAAGAUUAAUACCCGAUGGCAUAAUAGAACCGCAUGGUUUGAUUAUUAAAGAAUUCCGGUUAUCGAUGGGGAUGCGUUCCAUUAGGCAGUUGGUGGGGUAACGGCCCACCAAACCUUCGAUGGAUAGGGGUUCUGAGAGGAAGGUCCCCCACAUUGGAACUGAGACACGGUCCAA
rnacentral:rRNA from 1 species